rnacentral:rRNA from 1 species
UGGUUUGUCGCGUCGUCUGUGAAAUCCCGGGGCUUAACUUCGGGCGUGCAGGCGAUACGGGCAUAACUUGAGUGCUGUAGGGGAGACUGGAAUUCCUGGUGUAGCGGUGAAAUGCGCAGAUAUCAGGAGGAACACCAAUGGCGAAGGCAGGUCUCUGGGCAGUAACUGACGCUGAAGAGCGAAAGCAGGUAGCGAACAGGAUUAGAUACCCUGGUAGUCCUAGCCGUAAACGGUGGGCCCUAGGUGUGGGGGUCUUCCACGACUUCGUUGCCGCAAACAACUCAUAAAUCGCCCCCUGAGGAGUACGGCCGCAACGCAAACACUCAAAGGAAUUGACGGGGGCCCGCACAAGCGGCGGAGCAUGUGGAUUAAUUCGAUGCAACGCGAAGAACCUUACCGGGCUUGACAUCACCGGAUUAGCGUAGAGAUGCUGUGUCCCUUGUGGUCGGUGUACAGGUGGUGCAUGGUUGUCGUCAGCUCGUGUCGUGAGAUGUUGGGUUAAGUCCCGCAACGAGCGCAACCCUUGUCUUAUGUUGCCAGCACGUUGUGGUGGGUACUCAUGAGAGACUGCCGGGGUUAACUCGGAGGAAGGUGGGGAUGACGUCAAAUCAUCAUGCCCCUUAUGUCCAGGGCUUCACACAUGCUACAAUGGUCGGUACAGCGAGUUGCCACGACCGUAGUUGAGCUAAUCUCUUAAAGCCGGCCUCAGUUCGGAUUGGGGUCUGCAACUCGACCCCAUGAAGUCGGAGUCGCUAGUAAUCGCAGAUCAGCAACGCUGCGGUGAAUACGUUCCCGGGCCUUGUACACACCGCCCGUCACGUCAUGAAAGUUGGUAACACCCGAAGCCAGUGGCCCAACCUUUUAGGGGGAGCUGUCGAAGGUGGGAUCGGCGAUUGGGACGAAGUCGUAACAAGGUAGCCGUACCGGAAGGUGCGGCUGGAUCACCUCCUUUCUAA